CCUACGGGGGGCAGCAGUGAGGAAUAUUGGUCAAUGGACGAGAGUCUGAACCAGCCAAGUAGCGUGAAGGAUGACUGCCCUAUGGGUUGUAAACUUCUUUUAUAUGGGAAUAAAAUGUUCCACGUGUGGGAUUUUGUAUGUACCAUAUGAAUAAGGAUCGGCUAACACCGUGCCAGCAGCCGCGGUAAUACGGAGGAUCCGAGGGUUAUCCGGAUUUAUUGGGUUUAAAGGGAGCGUAGGUGGAUUGUUAAGUCAGUUGUGAAAGUUUGCGGCUCAACCGUAAAAUUGCAGUUGAAACUGGCAGUCUUGAGUACAGUAGAGGUGGGCGGAAUUCGUGGUGUAGCGGUGAAAUGCUUAGAUAUCACGAAGAACUCCGAUUGCGAAGGCAGUUCACUGGACUGCAACUGACACUGAGGCUCGAAAGUGUGGGUAUCAAACAGGAUUAGAUACCCGGUAGUC
rnacentral:rRNA from 1 species